rnacentral:lncRNA from 1 species
UUCAGUAUUUCUUUUCUUCUCAUCCUCAAAGCUAUGCGUCAAUGACUGAAUUAAAUCAUUCUGGAAAAAAGUACUUGUAUUCUCCCAAUCUGUUCAGUUUCCUCUGCUUCAUGUUUUGUUGUUGCUCGUAAAUCUGAAUUUUCAAGCUUAAGCCUAAAAUAAAAAUUUUAAAUGAUUGUGUUUACUUCACACAUUUGAAAAUACACAGUUAGAUUCUGAACAAAUGUGUGAAUGAUCAUAGGAAUUCUGACAUUUUUAAAAUACGUUGAUUUGGAAACUGUACUGGUCUUUGGGUGGCCUUUUGUCUGUAUAAACUUUAGAGGUAAUAUGAACAAAUAUGUGAUUUCUUUUUUGUCUCAGUGGUGCUGUGCAUCAGACUUACAGAUUCAAACACACAACACAUACGCACCCCCAUUGAGCUUCAACAUUCAAAGCAUGUAUUUUAGUUAAACUAAGUGCAGAACUUUCCCUCUGAUUUCAAAGGGGCUCAAUUGCUAUGAAUGAUACAAAUUGUCUAGUGUCACUGCUUUCUUUCUGGAAUACACUCAAGCUGUUCAGCACCGUGCUCUCAUCAUAGAACUCUGUAGAUUAUCUCAAUUCUCCUAAGCUCAUGGUGCAGCUUCUGAGUGUUCAUGUAGUGACUCAUGCCUCAUGCAGCUAGAAGAAGCAAUAGCUAGGUGCUGUCCCAUGGUCCUGCUGCCACAGACAGAACACUGUCAUCGAGCCUUUCCUGUCAUGGUACACUAGAAAUGCUCUGAAAUGUUGAGCCAAAAUCACCUUUUCUCUAUCAAGCUGACUUGUCAGAUAGCAUCUCUGCAGUGAGGAAACCUGAUUAACAUAGGAGGUGGGUGCCACAUUAUCACUGCUGGGAUGAAACUGGCCAUGUGCUUCUUAGACUUCUGGAACUUAUUUAUGGGCAUAUGAAAGAUUCUGGAGCAAUGGUUUACAGAAGGCCCAGAAUAAGAUCAGCCUAAUGAGCCAUUCUUAUGUGAGUUCAUGAGAUCAGAAUGUCCAUAAAAAUUCAGGCAUCAUGGGCUCUGAUCAUGAGGUUUCAGGUGUUGUAAAAUACUCUUCCUGAGUGUAGGACAGAGGCAUACACAUUACAUUCUGUCAAGGAAUUUGGAUCCAUGCUCAGAUUACAUUCUGUCAAGGAAUUUGGAUCCAUGCUCGGGUUACAUUCUGUCAAGGAAUUUGGAUCCAUGCUCGGAAAUGUUUGGUGAUUAUAAAUUAGUUUAUUUAGUGGUGGAAAUAGUCUAGAAAUCAUUACUGAAAAGAUAACAUUACACCAGCCACCUGAGUUCCACUGCCAUGCUAGGGCCCCCAAACAACACACAGAGUCUAUUGUUAGUUACAAUGCUGCUGGCCAAUGACUAGGAUUUCUUAUAUGCUAGCUCAGUCUUAAUUAUCAACCAUAACCAUUAUCUAUAUAUUUUGUAAGGACUUAUCUUAUCAAGGACGCCACCAGCAGAUGUCCUCUCUUCCCUGGCUCACAUGGCAAAUCCU